rnacentral:tRNA from 1 species
GGGGGCGGAUGGGGUACUGGUGUCCUUCCCGGUCUUCAAAACCGUGUGCGUCGGCUGGAUGCCGAUGGCUGUGUUCGAUUCGCAGACGCCCCCGCCA